rnacentral:misc_RNA from 1 species
AGGAAUUUGUUCCCAUCUCAGCACCUAUUUGGCAAAGAACUUACAUAGUGAAUAAACCUGUGUAAGCUAGUUGUGUACAUUAUAUGGAAGUGGAAGGUCCGAAAAUAUGGCUCUCAAAUUAUUCUUCUUCAGAUUGUAAGUUAUUUAUGAAAAACAACAAUAAAGUAUGUUGAUUUCACUGGUAACAUGCAAUAACUUCCAUAAAUAAUCUUGAAAAAAGCAUAAUGCUUACAUAUUCUGCAUACUGGAAUGCU